rnacentral:tRNA from 4 species
GGGGUUGUAGCUCAGCUGGUAGAGCGCCGCCUCGGCAGGGCGGAGGUCAGGGGUUCGAUUCCCCUCUUCUCCA